ACCAUGGUAUUACAUUGCCUGUUCUAUAUGCCACUAUGGAGUUAAACCAAUCGAAGAUGCUGGGUCCUCAACCGACGGGAAAAAGGUUAACAACCUUUGGGAUUGUCAUAACUGCAAGACAGCUGUUAAGAAAGUAUAUCCACGGUACAAGAUAUCUGUACGUUGGUGGACGAAACAGGGUCUGCAACCUUUGUGCUCUUUGAUAAGGAUAUUAAGAGGCUGAUUACAGUAUCUGCGUACACCAUGUGUGUUGUCCUUGCUAAGGGUGGUGAUAAAUUUCCUCCAGAGCUCGAAGAUAUCGAAGGUCACACAGCGUUGUUUGACUACAAGGUUGCAUACGACUAGAAUAUUAGACAAGAGAAAGAGGAUUAUACUGUCACCAAGCUUACCAAAGACGAACCUAUUCUUGAUGCAUACCGCAAACUUGGUGAAAAUAAUCAGGAUAAGGAGAUCGACCAACAACCUGUUACACCCUCUACUGAAGCCCCUUUAGGUCAAAAUUCAUAAAUGCGAUGGCAGCAACUUCAAUCUAAAGAGUACUGCAGAUAGUCCUCCUGUGAAGCGUUUGUGUGUAGAUCUUGAUGAUGACGAGUCUGUUGAAGCAUCCUCUACCCGUGCUAAACGAAGACUGGAGAUCAACCAAGACAAUCUCUAAUAAUACGAAACAAUAUCCGUCGGUGGUCAAAUAAAAAUCGCCCGUUUUUUCAAAAGCAGUUUAUUUGGAUUUUUGUUUCCGGAUUAUUCUAUUUUCUGUUUGGGUGAUUACCUGUGUUGGGUAUAUUUAAUGUUUGAUUUUAUUUUGUUCUAACCUCUGCUGCUACUUCAGGGCCAUCCAACAAAGAAGUUCUUUAGGGCCUCUGACCGACUUAUAACUGUUACAAACAUUAUUUCUUUUUCCAUUUUCAGUAUUCAUUUCAUUGGAUUCUUUGCAUUCUAUUUAUCAUCAUUCCACCUUAUAGUUUAUUUUUGAUUAUAUGUUUUUUA